rnacentral:tRNA from 1 species
GGCGGUGUAGCUCAGUUGGCUAGAGCGUACGGUUCAUACCCGUGAGGUCGAGGGUUCAAAUCCCUCUGCCGCUACCA